UACAGAGGUCUCAAGCGUUGUUCGGAUUCAUUGGGCGUAAAGCGUGCGUAGGCGGUGUUCCAAGUCUGUUGUGAAAUCUCCCGGCUUAACCGGGAGGGUGCGGCGGAAACUGGGACGCUGGAGUGCGGGAGAGGUAAGCGGAAUUCCUGGUGUAGCGGUGAAAUGCGUAGAUAUCAGGAGGAACACCUGCGGUGUAGACGGCUUACUGGACCGUAACUGACGCUGAGGCACGAAAGCGUGGGUAGCAAACAGG
rnacentral:rRNA from 1 species